GGCCGUUUCAAGACAGAGGUGCCUUAAGACUAUCAGUUGAGGCUCCAAGGACGCGCUACACACGCGAAAUUGUCUUUCACUUCGAAGAUUUAGUUGUAUCAUUUGGAGGCGCAGCUGGCCUAUUUCUUGGAGCAAGUUUCAUAAGUUUCGUAGAAAUUAUAUACUUUGCUAUGGAGAAAUCAUUCAAGUUUUUCUCGAGGGAAGCGGAAAUCCAACCAGUGACAAAACAGAAACGACCGUACCAGGAAC